rnacentral:rRNA from 1 species
GAUGAACGCUAGCGGCAGGCCUAAUACAUGCAAGUCGGACGGGAUUUGGGAGCUUGCUCCCAAUGAGAGUGGCGCACGUGUGCGUAACACGUAUGUAACCUACCUUAAUCAGGGGGAUAGCCUCCCGAAAGAGAGAUUAACACCGCAUAAUAUAUUUUUAUGGCAUCGUUGAAAUAUCAAAUAUUUAUAGGAUUAAGAUGGGCAUGCGGAACAUUAGCUAGUUGGUAAGGUAACGGCUUACCAAGGCUACGAUGUUUAGGGGAUCUGAGAGGGUGACCCCCCACACUGGUACUGAGACACGGACCAGACUCCUACGGGAGGCAGCAGUAAGGAAGAUUGGUCAAUGCGCGCAAGCCUGAACCAGCCAUGCCGCGUGCAGGAAGACGGCCCUAUGGGUUGUAAACUGCUUUUGUACCGGAAUAAACCCUUUUACGUGUAAAAGGCUGAAUGUACGGUAAGAAUAAGGAUCGGCUAACUCCGUGCCAGCAGCCGCCGUAA